rnacentral:rRNA from 1 species
UACGUAGGGGGCAAGCGUUGUCCGGAUUUAUUGGGCGUAAAGCGCGCGUAGGCGGCCAGAUAGGUCUGCUGUGAAAACUCGAGGCUUAACCUCGAGACGUCGAUGGAAACCGUAUGGCUAGAGUCCGGAAGAGGAGAGUGGAAUUCCUGGUGUAGCGGUGAAAUGCGCAGAUAUCAGGAAGAACACCCGUGGCGAAGGCGGCUCUCUGGGACGGUACUGACGCUGAGACGCGAAAGCGUGGGGAGCGAACAGG